rnacentral:sRNA from 1 species
UCUCUAAGAGAUUCUAUCAUCACUAUCAUCUCCAACAUUCAAAGGCCACAACCUAUUAUAUACUUCGACUAGUCCUUCAAGCAACAGUUCAUACCAUUUGGAUGGAACGAGAUAAACGGAGGCAUUGUGAGCUCCCCAACCCAUCUAAUCAACUAUUCAAAUUCAUCGACCGUAUCAGACGCAACAAGAUAUCUUCAAUUUAGUUUUAUGCCUCUUGUAAACUUAAGGAUGGACUACAGAUUUGGUUCGCCUUUCGAAUCUAAUUUUUU